rnacentral:rRNA from 1 species
ACGAAGGGGGCUAGCGUUGCUCGGAAUUACUGGGCGUAAAGGGCGCGUAGGCGGACAGUUUAGUCAGAGGUGAAAGCCCAGGGCUCAACCUUGGAAUUGCCUUUGAUACUGUCGGACUAGAGUCCGGGAGAGGCAAGUGGAAUUCCCGGUGUAGCGGUGAAAUGCGCAGAUAUCGGGAGGAACACCAAUGGCGAAGGCAGCUUGCUGGGACGGUACUGACGCUGAGGCGCGAAAGCGUGGGGAGCAAUCAGGA